rnacentral:rRNA from 1 species
AGAGUUUGAUCCUGGCUCAGGACGAACGCUGGCGGCGUGCCUAAUACAUGCAAGUCGAACGAAACUUUCUUACACCGAAUGCUUGCAUUCACCGUAAGAAGUUGAGUGGCGGACGGGUGAGUAACACGUGGGUAACCUGCCUAAAAGAAGGGGAUAACACUUGGAAACAGGUGCUAAUACCGUAUAUCUCUAAGGAUCGCAUGAUACUUAGAUGAAAGAUGGUUCUGCUAUCGCUUUUAGAUGGACCCGCGGCGUAUUAACUAGUUGGUGGGGUAACGGCCUACCAAGGUGAUGAUACGUAGCCGAACUGAGAGGUUGAUCGGCCACAUUGGGACUGAGACACGGCCCAAACUCCUACGGGAGGCAGCAGUAGGGAAUCUUCCACAAUGGACGCAAGUCUGAUGGAGCAACGCCGCGUGAGUGAAGAAGGUCUUCGGAUCGUAAAACUCUGUUGUUAGAGAAGAACACGAGUGAGAGUAACUGUUCAUUCGAUGACGGUAUCUAACCAGCAAGUCACGGCUAACUACGUGCCAGCAGCCGCGGUAAUACGUAGGUGGCAAGCGUUGUCCGGAUUUAUUGGGCGUAAAGGGAACGCAGGCGGUCUUUUAAGUCUGAUGUGAAAGCCUUCGGCUUAACCGGAGUAGUGCAUUGGAAACUGGAAGACUUGAGUGCAGAAGAGGAGAGUGGAACUCCAUGUGUAGCGGUGAAAUGCGUAGAUAUAUGGAAGAACACCAGUGGCGAAAGCGGCUCUCUGGUCUGUAACUGACGCUGAGGUUCGAAAGCGUGGGUAGCAAACAGGAUUAGAUACCCUGGUAGUCCACGCCGUAAACGAUGAAUGCUAGGUGUUGGAGGGUUUCCGCCCUUCAGUGCCGCAGCUAACGCAAUAAGCAUUCCGCCUGGGGAGUACGACCGCAAGGUUGAAACUCAAAGGAAUUGACGGGGGCCCGCACAAGCGGUGGAGCAUGUGGUUUAAUUCGAAGCAACGCGAAGAACCUUACCAGGUCUUGACAUCCCUCUGACCGCUCUAGAGAUAGGGCUUUCCUUCGGGACAGAGGUGACAGGUGGUGCAUGGUUGUCGUCAGCUCGUGUCGUGAGAUGUUGGGUUAAGUCCCGCAACGAGCGCAACCCU